AGGAGAUUCCAUGCGCCAUGGUGGUGCAGUGGUUAGAAUGCAAUAUUGCAGGCUGCUGACUGCAAGCAGUUCAAUUCUCACCGGCUGAAGGUUGACUCAGACUUUCCAUCCUUCCAAGUUGCUGCUGCAAAAUUUAUCCAAGGUCAUCUGCAUGGUUCUCCGUGCAAACAGUCCUCAGCUUAUGGACACAAUUGGGACCACAACUUCCAUUGCUAAGCGAUGUGGUCAUUAAAUCUCAUGGACAUCUGUUGAAAACAAGUUUCUUUUAAUAAGUGCAUGUGGGAUUUAACCAACAGUUCUUGAAAGAAGACUUACAGAUUGUCAAGGUCAUCUCCUACACUACGGGUGUCAAACUCAAUCGCAUCACAUGACGUAUCAUGGCUUUUUCGCCUUUGCAGAGCUGGGGUGGGCGCCGCCAGUUUGACACCUCUGUCCUACACAGAUUCCACAAUUGAAGAAUGGAUGGUGAAGUUUAUGGAACCGGCUAACAUGGUGAAAAUAAUCUUCUUGAUUAAAGAAAAGACUUCAUAUA